rnacentral:rRNA from 1 species
CUACCUACGGGGGAAGCAGUGGGGGAUAUUGCACAAUGGGGGAAACCCUGAUGCAGCGACGCCGCGUGAGUGAAGAAGUAUUUCGGUAUGUAAAGCUCUAUCAGCAGGGAAGAAAAAAGACGGUACCUGACUAAGAAGCCCCGGCUAACUACGUGCCAGCAGCCGCGGUAAUACGUAGGGGGCAAGCGUUAUCCGGAUUUACUGGGUGUAAAGGGAGCGUAGACGGCGAUGCAAGUCUGAAGUGAAAGCCCGGGGCUCAACCCCGGGACUGCUUUGGAAACUGUAUGGCUGGAGUGCUGGAGAGG